rnacentral:sRNA from 1 species
GCUGGGCACAGUGGCGCAUGCCUGUAAUCCCAGUGGCUCGGGAGGCUGAGGCAGGAGAAUCACAAGUUCAAAUCCAUCCUUAGAAACUUAGCAACUUAGUGAGACCCUGUCUCUA